UGGGGAAUUUUGGACAAUGGGCGAAAGCCUGAUCCAGCAAUGCCGCGUGUGUGAAGAAGGCCUCCGGGUUGUAAAGCACUUUUGUCCGGAAAGAAAUCCUUGGCUCUAAUACAGUCGGGGGAUGACGGUACCGGAAGAAUAAGCACCGGCUAACUACGUGCCAGCAGCCGCGGUAAUACGUAGGGUGCAAGCGUUAAUCGGAAUUACUGGGCGUAAAGCGUGCGCAGGCGGUUUGCUAAGACCGAUGUGAAAUCCCCGGGCUCAACCUGGGAACUGCAUUGGUGACUGGCAGGCUAGAGUAUGGCAGAGGGGGGUAGAAUUCCACGUGUAGCAGUGAAAUGCGUAGAGAUGUGGAGGAAUACCGAUGGCGAAGGCAGCCCCCUGGGCCAAUACUGACGCUCAUGCACGAAAGCGUGGGGAGCAAACAGGAUUAGAUACCCUGGUAGUCCACGCCCUAAACGAUGUCAACUAGUUGUUGGGGAUUCAUUUCCUUAGUAACGUAGCUAACGCGUGAAGUUGACCGCCUGGGGAGUACGGUCGCAAGAUUAAAACUCAAAGGAAUUGACGGGGUCAUAGCUGUUUCCU
rnacentral:rRNA from 1 species